UUCUUCGACUGAUGAGAAUGAGUUCAAAGGAGUGUUUGGGGUUCAAAGGACGAACGGCGGCAGAGGCAGACGAAGCACAACGGAGGACGGAGGACGACGAACCACGACGGAGGAUGGAGGACGAACGGGAAUCUGAGCAGGUAUAGCCAUUCGGAUUGGUAGGGUCCUUGAUGUGGUGAAGCGGUAGGAAAACACCUAAGCUUGUAUGGACAAAAGGUAGGUCUAGAUGCACGAGGAACUAAAAUCUGUGUAAGUGACAUUGAAUGAAUUGACAAAAAAAAUUUGUAGAUACUCAUGAGGAUAGAGGACAAGGUAAGGAUGAGGAACACGAAGAAGAGUUGGGAACAGAUGAAGAUGAUGAUGAUGAGGGAGAUGAAGAAGAGUCGGGAACAGAAGAUGUUGUAGACGGAGAUGAAUUUUUUAAGGAGCCUUGACCUUGGCCUUUUCAUUGUUUUUGUAGUUGAAUAUGUUAAUUUGUUUUGUGGUUGUCCCAAUUUGUUUAUGAACACUUUUUUCUUACUUUCGGGAGUUUAGUAUGAUAUGUUUUGUGUAUACAAAAAAUUUUAUGGUUGGUGUUUUGGUAAAUAUGACCACACCAGGUUGUUUAUUGUUUGAAAUAUUGUAGUAAAUUGCCUUUUUUUCCUUCUAAA